rnacentral:misc_RNA from 1 species
GAUGAAGAACGCAGCGAAAUGCGAUAAGUAAUGUGAAUUGCAGAAUUCGGUGAAUCAUCGAAUCUUUGAACGCACCUUGCGCCCUUUGGCCAUUCCGAAGGGCAUGCCUGUUUGAGUAUCAUGAACACCUCAACUCUUUAUGGUUUUCCAUGAUGAGCUUGGACUCUGGGGGUUUUGCUGGCUCACAGUCGGCUCCUCUAAAAUGAAUCAGCUUACCAGUGUUUGGUGGGUAUCAUGGGUGUGAUAACUAUCUACGCUUGUGGUUUUUCCACCAGGUAACCUUCAGCAGUGGAGGUUCGCUGGAGCUCAUAGAUGUCUCUCCUCAGUGAGGACAGCCCUUUGAAUGUUUGAUCUCAAAUCAGGUAGGACUACCCGCUGAACUUAAGCAUAUCAAUAAGCGGAGGA